rnacentral:rRNA from 1 species
AUUCCCCUAGUAACUGCGAGUGAAGCGGGAAAAGCUCAAAUUUAAAAUCUGGCAGUCUUUGGCUGUCCGAGUUGUAAUUUAGAGAAGUGUUAUCCGCGCUGGACCGUGUAUAAGUCUCCUGGAAGGGAGCAUCAUAGAGGGUGAGAAUCCCGUCUUUGACACGGACUACCAGGGCUUUGUGAUGCGCUCUCGAAGAGUCGAGUUGUUUGGGAAUGCAGCUCUAAAUGGGUGGUAAAUUCCAUCUAAAGCUAAAUAUUGGCGAGAGACCGAUAGCGAACAAGUACCGUGAGGGAAAGAUGAAAAGAACUUUGGAAAGAGAGUUAAACAGUACGUGAAAUUGCUGAAAGGGAAACGCUUGAAGUCAGUCGCGUCAGCUAGGGAUCAACCUUUCUUCUGACUGGUGUACUUCCUAGUUGACGGGCCAACAUCAGUUUUGACCGUUGGAUAAAGGCCAGGGGAAUGUGGCAUCUUCGGAUGUGUUAUAGCCUCUGGUCGUAUACAAUGGUUGGGACUGAGGAACUCAGCACGCCGCAAGGCCGGGUUUUUAACCACGUCCGUGCUUAGGAUGUUGGCAUAAUGGCUUUAAUCGACCCGUCUUGAAACACGGACCAAGGAGUCUAACAUGCUUGCGAGUAUUUGGGUGCAAAACCCAUAUGCGCAAUGAAAGUGAAAGUUGAGAACUCUGUCAUGGAGUGCAUCGACGCCCAGACCAGACCUUCUGUGACGGAUCUGCGGUAGAGCACGUAUGUUGGGACCCGAAAGAUGGUGAACUAUGCCUGAAUAGGGUGAAGCCAGAGGAAACUCUGGUG